rnacentral:rRNA from 1 species
AUUGAACGCUGGCGGCAUGCUUUACACAUGCAAGUCGAACGGUAACAGGCCGCAAGGUGCUGACGAGUGGCGCGCGGGUGCGUAAUGCAUCGGAACGUGCCCAGUCGUGGGGGAUAACUACUCGAAAGAGUAGCUAAUACCGCAUACGAUCUAUGGAUGAAAGCGGGGGACCGUAAGGCCUCGCGCGAUUGGAGCGGCCGAUGUCAGAUUAGGUAGUUGGUGGGGUAAAGGCUCACCAAGCCAACGAUCUGUAGCUGGUCUGAGAGGACGACCAGCCACACUGGGACUGAGACACGGCCCAGACUCCUACGGGAGGCAGCAGUGGGGAAUUUUGGACAAUGGGCGCAAGCCUGAUCCAGCAAUGCCGCGUGCAGGAAGAAGGCCUUCGGGUUGUAAACUGCUUUUGUACGGAACGAAACGGCUCUGGUUAAUACCCGGGGCUAAUGACGGUACCGUAAGAAUAAGCACCGGCUAACUACGUG